rnacentral:rRNA from 1 species
AUUGAACGCUGGCGGCAGGCCUAACACAUGCAAGUCGAACGAGUGGCGGACGGGUGAGUAAUGUCUGGGAAACUGCCUGAUGGAGGGGGAUAACUACUGGAAACGGUAGCUAAUAACGCAUACCAUCAGAUGUGCCCAGAUGGGAUUAGCUAGUUGGUGGGGUAACGGCUCACCAAGGCGACGAUCCCUAGCUGGUCUGAGAGGAUGACCGGCCAAACUGUAUCUGGACAAGGGCCCGGACUCUACGGGUGGGAGGCGGGGGGAAGAUUGCACAAUGGGCGAAGGCCGCAUGCAGCCAGGCGGGGUGUAUAAGGAGGGCCUUCGGUUUGUAAAGUACUUUCGGCGGGGAGACGUUACCCGCGGAAGAGUCACCGGUUAACUCCGUGCCGGCGGCCGCGUAAUAC